rnacentral:rRNA from 2 species
UGAGGAAUAUUGGUCAAUGGACGAGAGUCUGAACCAGCCAAGUAGCGUGAAGGAUGACUGCCCUAUGGGUUGUAAACUUCUUUUAUACGGGAAUAAAGUUAGCCACGUGUGGCUUUUUGUAUGUACCGUAUGAAUAAGGAUCGGCUAACUCCGUGCCAGCAGCCGCGGUAAUACGGAGGAUCCGAGCGUUAUCCGGAUUUAUUGGGUUUAAAGGGAGCGUAGGCGGGUUGUUAAGUCAGUUGUGAAAGUUUGCGGCUCAACCGUAAAAUUGCAGUUGAUACUGGCGACCUUGAGUGCAACAGAGGUAGGCGGAAUUCGUGGUGUAGCGGUGAAAUGCUUAGAUAUCACGAAGAACUCCGAUUGCGAAGGCAGCUUACUGGAUUGUAACUGACGCUGAUGCUCGAAAGUGUGGGUAUCAAACAGGAUUAGAUACCCUGGUAGUCCACACAGUAAACGAUGAAUACUCGCUGUUGGCGAUAUACGGUCAGCGGCCAAGCGAAAGCAUUAAGUAUUCCACCUGGGGAGUACGCCGGCAACGGUGAAACUCAAAGGAAUUGACGGGGGCCCGCACAAGCGGAGGAACAUGUGGUUUAAUUCGAUGAUACGCGAGGAACCUUACCCAGGCUUAAAUUGCAACUGACUGAACCGGAAACGGUUCCUUCUUCGGACAGUUGUGAAGGUGCUGCAUGGUUGUCGUCAGCUCGUGCCGUGAGGUGUCGGCUUAAGUGCCAUAACGAGCGCAACCCUUAUCGAUAGUUACUAGCAGGUCAUGCUGAGGACUCUAUUGAGACUGCCGUCGUAAGAUGUGAGGAAGGUGGGGAUGACGUCAAAUCAGCACGGCCCUUACGUCCGGGGCUACACACGUGUUACAAUGGGGGGUACAGAAGGCAGCUACACGGCGACGUGGUGCUAAUCCCGAAAGCCUCUCUCAGUUCGGAUUGGAGUCUGCAACCCGACUCCAUGAAGCUGGAUUCGCUAGUAAUCGCGCAUCAGCCACGGCGCGGUGAAUACGUUCCC